AGUGAACGCUGGCGGUAGGCCUAACACAUGCAAGUCGAACGGCAGCACAGUAAGAGCUUGCUCUUACGGGUGGCGAGUGGCGGACGGGUGAGGAAUACAUCGGAAUCUACUUUUUCGUGGGGGAUAACGUAGGGAAACUUACGCUAAUACCGCAUACGACCUACGGGUGAAAUCAGGGGAUCUUCGGACCUUGCGCGAUUGAAUGAGCCGAUGUCGGAUUAGCUAGUUGGCGGGGUAAAGGCCCACCAAGGCGACGAUCCGUAGCUGGUCUGAGAGGAUGAUCAGCCACACUGGAACUGAGACACGGUCCAGACUCCUACGGGAGGCAGAAGUGGGGAAUAUUGGACAAUGGGCGCAAGCCUGAUCCAGCCAUACCGCGUGAGUGAAGAAGGCCUUCGGGUUGUAAAGCCCUUUUAUUGGGAAAGAAAAGCAGCAGGUUAAUACCCCGCUGUUCUGACGGUACCCAAAGAAUAAGCACCGGCUAACUUCGUG
rnacentral:rRNA from 1 species